rnacentral:misc_RNA from 1 species
UGGUGCAUAGAUAACAUAUGACCCCGUCGAAUCAGUGCAGCUCUCUUGCAGUAUCAGCAUGUUACUUUGGUUUGAAUUUGCACUAUUCACUCUGAGUAAAGAAACGCAGUUUCCUGGAUCUCGUCCAUUAGCAAUAUGAGCCAUUUCUUGAAUUUGACCACCAUUCGAAAGGAUAUCCCACUCACUUCGAUGGUUCUCAUCACUUAGG